rnacentral:rRNA from 1 species
UCCUGCCGGAGGACAUUGCUAUUGGGAUUCGAUUUAGCCAUGCUAGUCGAGCGAGUUCAGACUCGCGGCGCAUAGCUCAGUAACACGUGGCCAAGCUACCCUUCAGUCAGCGAUACCCUCGGGAAACUGAGGUUAACAGCUGAUACAAAACGCCAGCUGGAAUGCGGCGUUUCAGAAAGAGAUCGCUGAAGGAUGCGGCUGCGGCCGAUUAGGUAGACGGUGGGGUAACGGCCCACCGUGCCCAUAAUCAGUACAGGUUGUGAGAGCAAGAACCUGGAGACGGAAUCUGAGACAAGAUUCCGGGCCCUACGGGGCGCAGCAGGCGCGAAACCUUUACACUGCACGCACGUGCGAUAAGGGGACUCCGAGUGCGAGGGCAUAUCGUCCUCGCUUUCGUGUACCGUAGGGCGGUACACCAACAAGGGCUGGGCAAGACCGGUGCCAGCCGCCGCGGUAAUACCGGCAGCCCGAGUGAUGGCCGAUCUUAUUGGGCCUAAAGCGUCCGUAGCUGGCUGCGCAAGUCCGUCGGGAAAUCCACUCGCCCAACGAGUGGGCGUCCGACGGAAACUGCACAGCUUGGGACCGGAAGGCUCGAAGGGUACGUUCGGGGUAGGAGUGAAAUCCCAUAAUCCCGCACGGACCACCGAUGGCGAAAGCACUUCGAGAAAACGGAUCCGACAGUGAGGGACGAAAGCCAGGGUCUCCAACCGGAUUAGAUACCCGGGUAGUCCUGGCCGUAAACAAUGUCUGCUAGGUGUGGCUCCCACUACGAGUGGGUGCUGUGCCGUAGGGAAGCCGCUAAGCAGACCGCCUGGGAAGUACGUCCGCAAGGAUGAAACUUAAAGGAAUUGGCGGGGGAGCACUACAACCGGAGGAGCCUGCGGUUUAAUUGGACUCAACGCCGGACAUCUCACCAGCUCCGACUACAGUGAUGACGACCAGGUUGAUGACCUCAUCACGACGCUGUAGAGAGGAGGUGCAUGGCCGCCGUCAGCUCGUACCGUGAGGCGUCCUGUUAAGUCAGGCAACGAGCGAGACCCGCACCCCUAAUUGCCAGCAACAGUUUCGACUGGUUGGGUACAUUAGGAGGACUGCCAGUGUUAAACUGGAGGAAGGAACGGGCAACGGUAGGUCAGUAUGCCCCGAAUGAGCUGGGCAACACGCGGGCUACAAUGGCUAAGACAAUGGGUCGCUAUCUCGACAGAGAACGCUAAUCUCGAAACUUAGUCGUAGUUCGGAUUGAGGGCUGAAACUCGCCCUCAUGAAGCUGGAUUCGGUAGUAGCCGCCUUUCAGUAGAAGGCGACGAAUACGUCCCUGCUCCUUGUACACACCGCCCGUCA